GCGUUGUUCGGAAUUAUUGGGCGUAAAGGGCGCGUAGGCGGUUUGGCAAGUUUGGUGUGAAAUCUUCGGGCUCAACUCGAAGUCUGCAUCGAGAACUGCCGGGCUUGAGUAUGGGAGAGGUGAGUGGAAUUUCCGGUGUAGCGGUGAAAUGCGUAGAUAUCGGAAGGAACACCUGUGGCGAAAGCGGCUCACUGGACCAUAACUGACGCUGAGGCGCGAAAGCUAG
rnacentral:rRNA from 1 species